rnacentral:rRNA from 1 species
CAACUACAAUCUCUCUUAGCAAAAUAUGGAGUUCAUAAUCACAGAAUUACAACUCCAUAUCACCCGCAAGCAAAUGGACAAGUGGAGUUGUCUAAUAGAGAAAUAAAGGCCAUUCUCGAGAAGGUAGUAUCAAAGUCAAGGUCUGACUGGGUACUGAAAUUACCAGACACACUAUGGGCAUAUAGGACAGCCUAUAAAACACCAAUAGGAAUGUCACCAUUCAGGUUAAUAUAUGGAAAAGCAUGCCAUCUACCCAUUGAACUUGAACACAAAGCUCAGUGGGCACUAAGGAAACUCAAUAUGGAC